UCGCAGUCGCUUCGCAUCUUCUCUCUCUUCUCCCUCAUACUCUCUCUCUAAACCUUUUAUUUCUAGAACUUCGCUUUCGUCUCUUAAAUCCUCUCCUGCUUUCUACGCUUGCGGAUCGCUUACCUCCUCCUCGGCGUUUAGAUCUCUCCGGUACUCCGUUCCCUGGUGGAGUCACGGUGUUGGUUGGCGAUCUCCGGUCAGUGUUAGGGGUAUUGCGACUCCUGUGCUCGAACGUUGUGAAAGCAGAUAGCAUUUGUGGAGAAGAUUUAAAUUUUGCCAAAGGAAAAGAUUUGUGGAGAAGAUGAACAGUAGAACAUUAAAAGAAAGGAAAAUAAUAAAUUAUAAAAAAAUAAUGUAGUUUUGAUUGUAUAAAUAAUUUCAAUUUUUAUGUCAUUUGUUUAACUAAUUUUUGUUAAUUGUAUCGAAUUUCUUAUUUUAUUUUAUGUUAAU
rnacentral:lncRNA from 1 species